rnacentral:misc_RNA from 1 species
GCCCUCCGUCUUCCGUCUUCCGUCUCCCGUCUACUCCUCGACUCACUAAUCAUGCACGCCUCCCUCGAGCGACCGGUCGUCAGUCCGCGCGCCUUUCCAGAGGUCGUUGUCGACCGCAUCUGGCGGUUUUUCUGUUCCGUGCGCGCCGCGGUCGCUGAGAUCGCGUUCCUGGCGUUGCUCGUUCUGAUUGGCACGUUGCGCGGCAGCUCAGUGCCUCAAACCGUCGCCGACGUCAUCCCACCGACGGCUCCGCUCGUCGAGCGGUGGUACGACUGGGACGUCUUCCACUCGUUGCCCUUCGCGGGCAUUCUCACCCUUCUGGCAGUCGCCAUCACGGUCUGCACCAUGAAUCGAGCU